CAGUCGAGCGGACAGAUGGGAGCUUGCUCCCUGAUGUUAGCGGCGGACGGGUGAGUAACACGUGGGUAACCUGCCUGUAAGACUGGGAUAACUCCGGGAAACCGGGGCUAAUACCGGAUGGUUGUUUGAACCGCAUGGUUCAAACAUAAAAGGUGGCUUCGGCUACCACUUACAGAUGGACCCGCGGCGCAUUAGCUAGUUGGUGAGGUAACGGCUCACCAAGGCAACGAUGCGUAGCCGACCUGAGAGGGUGAUCGGCCACACUGGGACUGAGACACGGCCCAGACUCCUACGGGAGGCAGCAGUAGGGAAUCUUCCGCAAUGGACGAAAGUCUGACGGAGCAACGCCGCGUGAGUGAUGAAGGUUUUCGGAUCGUAAAGCUCUGUUGUUAGGGAAGAACAAGUACCGUUCGAAUAGGGCGGUACCUUGACGGUACCUAACCAGAAAGCCACGGCUAACUACGUGCCAGCAGCCGCGGUAAUACGUAGGUGGCAAGCGUUGUCCGGAAUUAUUGGGCGUAAAGGGCUCGCAGGCGGUUUCUUAAGUCUGAUGUGAAAGCCCCCGGCUCAACCGGGGAGGGUCAUUGGAAACUGGGGAACUUGAGUGCAGAAGAGGAGAGUGGAAUUCCACGUGUAGCGGUGAAAUGCGUAGAGAUGUGGAGGAACACCAGUGGCGAAGGCGACUCUCUGGUCUGUAACUGACGCUGAGGAGCGAAAGCGUGGGGAGCGAACAGGAUUAGAUACCCUGGUAGUCCACGCCGUAAACGAUGAGUGCUAAGUGUUAGGGGGUUUCCGCCCCUUAGUGCUGCAGCUAACGCAUUAAGCACUCCGCCUGGGGAGUACGGUCGCAAGACUGAAACUCAAAGGAAUUGACGGGGGCCCGCACAAGCG
rnacentral:rRNA from 1 species